GAGUGGCGAACGGGUGAGCAAUACAUCGGAACGUGUCCUGUAGCGGGGGACAACCUCGAGAAAUCGAGGCUAAUACCGCAUACGAUCUACGGAUGAAAGUGGGGGACCGCAAGGCCCCACACUAUAGGAGCGGCCGAUGCCGGAUUAGCUAGUUGGUGGGGUAACGGCCUACCAAGGCGACGAUCCGUAGCUGGUUUGAGAGAACGACCAGCCACACUGGGACUGAGACACGGCCCAGACUCCUACGGGAGGCAGCAGUGGGGAAUUUUGGACAAUGGGCGAAAGCCUGACGCAGCAACGCCGCGUGAGGGACGA
rnacentral:rRNA from 1 species